GUAUUUCAGGGGGAUUUCGGGAAAUGUUAUGAUAGAUGCACGUUCCACAGGGAAAUAUUAUCACUUUGUAAGGCUUAUGUGACGUGCUGCUUCCCACAUUACAUUAGAAUGUGCUUUACAAACUCAUCCAAACAUCACUCUUAUUGGAGAAGAGGUUGCAUCAAAGAAAUUGACACUAAAAAAGGUUACAAAUUACAUAGCAGAUGUAAUCUGUAAACGUGCAGAUCUUGGUUAUAACUAUGGUGUUAUUCUCAUACUUGAAGGACUUAUUGAUUCCCUGAGGUAAAAAAGUGCAAAAGACGAGAAUACCCUUGUCAGGCAUUCUCAUACUAAUAAUCAUUGUUGAUGACUUGUAGGUGCAACAACUGAUUUCUAAAUUAUAUGAAAUAUUGGCAAAUGAAAUUGUUGAUGAGGGAGGAAUUGUAGACAGGGG